rnacentral:rRNA from 1 species
CCUACGGGAGGCAGCAGUGAGGAAUAUUGGUCAAUGGACGGAAGUCUGAACCAGCCAUGCCGCGUGCAGGAAGACGGCUCUAUGAGUUGUAAACUGCUUUUGUACAAGGGUAAACCUGAAUACGUGUAUUCGGCUGAAAGUACUGUACGAAUAAGGAUCGGCUAACUCCGUGCCAGCAGCCGCGGUAAUACGGAGGAUCCAAGCGUUAUCCGGAUUUAUUGGGUUUAAAGGGUGCGUAGGCGGUUUGAUAAGUUAGAGGUGAAAUGUCCGGGCUUAACUCGGGAACUGCCUCUAAUACUGUUGAUCUAGAGAGUAGAUGCGGUAGGCGGAAUGUAUGGUGUAGCGGUGAAAUGCUUAGAGAUCAUACAGAACACCGAUUGCGAAGGCAGCUUACCAAUCUAUAACUGACGUUGAGGCACGAAAGCGUGGGGAGCAAACAGGAUUAGAUACCCCUGUAGUC